CUGGCCCGAGCCUGAACCAGGCCAAUCAACGUGCUGGCCCGAACCAAGCCAAUCAACGUGCUGAGCCCAGCCCGGGUCCACAGUCAAAAGUCCGUGCCCAUCCCAGGCCUGGGCUUUCGGCUCAGCAAAGUCUGCGGUUCUGGUUAUGCUUUCUGUACGAGACAGAUCAAGAAGCGGUUGCUGACUGACCAGUUGGGGCGAAAAUUUUUGUGGGAAGUACGUAAGAGAAAGUUGACAUUCAGGAACCUUCACCUUGCUGAGUGCAUCAUAAAUGCAGUGCAGAGCUGCCAUAAAUGUGAAGACUUCAAGGUAGAAACCAUGGUCACGGAUUAACUUCGCCACGUACCUGCCUGACAUCAGUCAUCUCAAAUGGAACAUUCUGCACCACAGGAGAGAGAGAUAUGUGAACUGCCUUAAGUGGGCCUUGAAUGCGCUGAGCUUUUUAUUAUGUUUAUCAGACAUUUUUUUUAAGCAAAGUAUCCUGCAUUGUUUCAGUAAGUAUACUUUAUUUGGAAAACCUCAUGCUGUCUAUGCAGUAUUGUUCAAAAAUUAUACUUUAUUUUAAAAGCAUCAAGCACUGCUCGUCUGUCUAACAGUAACAAUAAAGAG